UACGUAGGGCGCAAGCGUUGUCCGGAAUUAUUGGGCGUAAAGAGCUCGUAGGCGGCUUGUCGCGUCGUGUGUGAAAUCUCAGGGCUCAACUCUGACAUUGCAUACGAUACGGGCAGGCUUGAGUUCGGUAGGGGAGACUGGAAUUCCUGGUGUAGCGGUGAAAAUGCGCAGAUAUCAGGAGGAACACCGAUGGCGAAGGCAGAUCUCUGGGCCGUAACUGACGCUGAGGAGCGAAAGCAUGGGGAGCGAACAGG
rnacentral:rRNA from 1 species